UACGGAGGGGGCUAGCGUUGUUCGGAAUUACUGGGCGUAAAGCGCGCGUAGGCGGACUUUUAAGUCAGGGGUGAAAUCCCGGGGCUCAACCCCGGAACUGCCUUUGAUACUGGAAGUCUUGAGUUCGAGAGAGGUGAGUGGAAUUCCGAGUGUAGAGGUGAAAUUCGUAGAUAUUCGGAGGAACACCAGUGGCGAAGGCGGCUCACUGGCUCGAUACUGACGCUGAGGUGCGAAAGCGUGGGGAGCAAACAGG
rnacentral:rRNA from 1 species